rnacentral:rRNA from 1 species
AUUGAACGCUGGCGGCAGGCCUAACACAUGCAAGUCGAACGAGUGGCGGACGGGUGAGUAAUGUCUGGGAAACUGCCUGAUGGAGGGGGAUAACUACUGGAAACGGUAGCUAAUACCGCAUACCAUCGGAUGUGCCCAGAUGGGAUUAGCUAGUAGGUGGGGUAAAGGCUCACCUAGGCGACGAUCCCUAGCUGGUCUGUGAGGAUGACCAGCCACACUGGAACUGGGACCGGGUCCAGACUCCUACGGGGGGAAGCGGUGGGGAAUAUUGCACAAUGGGCGCAAGCCUGCUGCAGCCAUGCCGCGUGUAUGAGAAAGGCCUUGGGGUUGUAAGGUACUUUCAGCGGGGAGGCGUUACUCGCAGAAGAAGCACCGGCUAACUCCGUGCCAGCAGCCGCGGUAAUUC